UGGGCAUAAUAUUCAAGUAUCAACCAUGUGUUUUGUAAUCUACAAGUCUAUUUUGCCUGACUUACUUGACUGCCAUUUUCUGCUUGAAUCAAGGCUGCAGUGUUAUAGGAGGAGGAUAGAGAACCAGAACAGAUGAGGGUACCACACAACUUUUCUCGCAGCGAAGCAGCAACUGCGGCAGCUGAGACCCCUUCUGAAUCAAGCCUGCAGCAAGCUUUGCUCUCUUCACCCACCCUCUGCUUCACGCAGCUCUUCUGGGUCUUCUGGUCUACAAAAGGUGCCAGUAUCAGAUACAAAUGCUCUCUCAUCUCCAGACAAUCAAGGACUUUCAUCUUUCAAUAGCGACCUAAAUAAAGACCCUUUUUCAGAGACAGAGAAAUCUGCAAGCUUGACUGCUUCAAGACAAUGUUGGCAUUUUUAAAAUUCUUGGAAAUAUUUCAGAGGCGAAUUGCUUAGAAGACUCAAAUAAAAAUUCCAGUGAUGAUGACAGAAAAAUGGGGAAAUUGCACACUUUACGACAGAUGUGGGACCUGGAAACUGAACUCUAGACACCCUGGGCAUCAGCUUAAGAGAACAGAGUGCUGGAGAAAACUGACAUUUUGCUUCACAAGAUAUAGGUCCAUUUGUGGAUCCCAGAGUCACCAUCUGUACAUACUAUGUUCUGCUUCUAAC